AUACGGAGGGGGCUAGCGUUGUUCGGAAUUACUGGGCGUAAAGCGCACGUAGGCGGAUUAAAAAGUUAGAGGAGAAAUCCCAGGGCUUAACCCUGGAACUGCCUUUAAAACUAGUAGUCUAGAGUUCGAGAGAGGUGAGUGGAAUUCCAAGUGUAGAGGUGAAAUUCGUAGAUAUUUGGAGGAACACCAGUGGCGAAGGCGGCUCACUGGCUCGAUACUGACGCUGAGGUGCGAAAGCGUGGGGAGCAAACAGGAUUAGAUACCCCAGUAGUCC
rnacentral:rRNA from 1 species